rnacentral:rRNA from 1 species
ACGAAACGCUGGCGGCGUGCUUAACACAUGCAAGUCGAGGGCUCUGGGGCAACCCAGGGACCGGCGAACGGGUGCGUAACACGUGAGCGACCUGCCCGCUUGAGGGGGAUAGCCGGCCCAACGGCCGGGUAAUACCGCAUACGUUUCUCUUGGCGGCAUCGCUGGGAGAAAGAAAGUUCUGGCGCAGGCGGAGGGGCUCGCGGCCUAUCAGCUGGUUGGCGGGGGUAACGGCCCACCAAGGCGAUGACGGGUAGCUGGUCUGAGAGGAUGGCCAGCCACAUUGGGACUGAGAGACGGCCCAGACUCCUACGGGAGGCAGCAGUGGGGAAUCUUGCGCAAUGGCCGCAAGGCUGACGCAGCGACGCCGCGGUGCGGGAGGACGCCCUUCGGGGUGGUAAACCGCUGUUUGCCCGGGACGAACGAGCGGUUUCGACCGCUGUGACGGUACCGGGUGAGGAAGCACCGGCUAACUCCGUGCCAGCAGCCGCGGGUAAUACGGAGGGUGCGAGCGUUGUCCGGAAUCACUGGGCGUAAAGGGCGCGUAGGCGGCUUUUUUAAGUGUGCGGUUGAAAGCCCGGGGCUCAACCCCGGGUCGGCCGUGCAAACUGGGAGGCUUGAGCACUGUAGAGGCGGGUGGAAUUCCGGGUUGUAGCGGUGGAAUGCGUAGAGAUCCGGAAGAACACCGGUGGCGAAGGCGGCCCGCUGGGCAGGAGCUGACGCUGAUGCGCGACAGCGUGGGGAGCAAACAGGAUUAGAUACCCUGGUAGUCCACGCCGGUAAACGAUGGGCACUAGGUGCUUGGGGGGAGCGACCCUCCGGGUGCCGGCGCUAACGCAUUAAGUGCCCCGCCUGGGGAGUACGGCCGCAAGGCUGAAACUCAAAGGAAUUGACGGGGGGCCCGCACAAGCGGUGGAGCAUGUGGUUUAAUUCGACGCAACGCGAAGAACCUUACCUGGGCUUGACAUGCUGGGGAAAGCCGCCAGAGACGGCGGCCCUCCUUCGGGACUCCAGCACAGGUGCUGCAUGGCUGUCGUCAGCUCGUGUCGUGAGAUGUUGGGUUAAGUCCCGCAACGAGCGCAACCCUCGGCCCUAGUUACCAGCGGGUAAAGCCGGGCACUCUAGGGCGACUGCCGGUGCCAAACCGGAGGAAGGUGGGGACGACGUCAAGUCAUCAUGGUCCUUACGUCCAGGGGCUACACACGUGCUACAAUGGGCGGGACAGAGGGUUUGCGAAGCCGCAAGGUGAAGCCAAUCCCACAAAUUCGCCCUCAGUUCGGAUUGUCGUCUGCAACUCGACGGCAUGAAGCUGGAAUCGCUAGUAAUCGUGGAUCAGCUACGCCACGGUGAAUACGUUCCCGGGCCUUGUACACACCGCCCGUCACGCCAUGGAAGCUCGGAGCGCCCGAAGUCCGUGUCGGAACCCGCAAGGGACCAAGCGGCCGAAGGCGAGCCGAGUGACUGGGGCG